UUUGGUAUUGUGUUUUUAUUUUUUUAUUUUUUAAAAUACUAAUUCUAUAUAAUUUAAUAUUUUGGUAGAAAUUUUUUUCUUUUAUUGUUAUAGUUGGCCAUUUUACAGAGUUGAGCUAGAGUACUCUCAAAAGCACUAAGGGGGUAGUGCUUGUGAGUUUUUAACUAUUGGAUGGAUAGAUGUAGGAUUAAAAUGAUGAUGGUAGGUAGGUGAAAUAGUGUUUGAUUCAAUAGGUAUUAGUAAUUAAGGAGUAGAUCCAAGGGCUAGAAAUUUAGAAACACCAAGGGAUUGGUGCUUCUAAAAGUAUUUUAGCUCAAUUCCCAUUUUACAAUACAUCCGUUUAAGUAAUGUAUGAUAACUUAUUUUCCAAAAAAAAAAAUAGAAAUAAAAAAAUUAUUUUGAAAUUUUAAUUUUGUAAUGAAUUAAACUCGUUGGAUGAAAUAAAUGCAAUCAAUCCACUGUCAAUUUCUACACCUUUUGAUAUGCAAAAUGUUAUUUUAAAAAAUAAAAUAAAAAACACAAUAUCAAACGAGACUAAAGAUGUCAACGGGUUUGAUUUGAAUUGGAUUUUCAAUAUCCGAACCUGAACCUGACAACCAAACUUGAAACACGAACCAGAACCCAAAUUCGAUGAAUUUUAAAACUCCACACCAAAAUCGGAACCGGACCCAAAAUGUGAUAUACGAACCCGAAACAAAUAUUUUUCUUUACCAUAUUUCAAAAUAUAUUAUAUUAAAUCUAAAUUUUCACACACACACACACAUAUCUAUACUAGAUAUAAAAGCGUGAGUUUUGAAUUUUUUUCUCUUUCCCAAAAUGCCGAUCCCUAUUAAUAUAAUUCCAUUCAUUCAACUUUAAUAGAAUAAAUCACAGCCGUACAAUUUUUAUUUUAUUUUUAAAUUAUCAUAAAAUAUAUUAAUUUUUAGUCAUUCGAUCUAAUCCAAUGACUGACGAAUUAAGUAUCUGUCACUUUUUUUUACCUAAAUUGCCUUUAAAUAAUACGUAUCAAAUUUCACUUUUUAUAUGUGUGUCAUAUCUCCAACCGCCGCCAACAUAAUAUCAUAUUUUAUCACAAAUAAUACGCAUUUCUUAAAUAUUUUCAUUCUCACACGUAAUAUCCGCCACCUAUAUAAUAUCCAAUCACAUAAUACCUUCCGCAUAUAUAAUAUUUAAUCAUAUAUUUUUAAAAGUGAAUAUAUAAAAAUUAUCUCAAUUUUACCNNNNNNNNNNNNNNNNNNNNAUAUAUAUAUAUAUAUAUAUAUAUAUAUAUAUAGAUAGAGAGAGAGAGAGAGAGAGAAAGAGAGAGAGAGAGAGAGAGAGAACUAGCCUGUAAUACUAUUAAUAGCACCAAGCUAUUGAUGCUAUCAGUUUGUUAGUCCUUGGAUUGAGAAAUGUGCGGUUAGGAUGAAGUGGGUCCCCUAGAGUUGAGUGGGUGGUUGAUUGAAUAGUAUAAUCUAACGGGUAAAAAUAAUCAAAGGGUGAAAUCUAACGGCGGAAAAUUUGAUAGCACCAAAUCCUUAGUGCUAUCAAUAGUAUCCCAGCCGGACUCUAUAUAUAUAUAUAUAUAUAUAUAUAUACACUACUUAUAAAAGCGUGAGUUUUGAAUUUUUUUCUCUUUCCCAAAAUGCCCAUCCCUAUUAAUAUAAUUCUAAUUACAUACUAAUAAUAUUAUUCAUUCAACUUUAAUGGAAUAAAUCACAACUGUACAAUUUUUAUUUUAUUUUUAAAUUAUCAUAUCUCCUAAUAACCGCCGCAAAUAUAAUAUCAUAUUUUAUCACAAAUAAUAUUCGCAUUUCUUAAAUAUUUUCAUUCUCACAUGUAAUAUCCGCCACCUAUAUAAUAUCCAAUCACAUAAUACCUUCCGCAUAUAUAAUAAUUGAUAUUGAUUUGAGAUAAUUAUUAAAAUAAUUGUUGACACAGACAUACCCUUUUUUAGUCGGAAAAAAUAUUGCAUUCUAUUUCUCUCAAUAGAAAGAAAUUUAUACUUAUCCAAAUAUUUGUCAACCGAAAGAUAUUUGUGCGUCCCAUAAAAUAAUAUUCCAUAUUUAUCAAAAAAACGAAAAUUUCUAUGCAACAAACAUUAAAAAUAUUUUGUAUCUACUAUCUCUCAAUUAGCUAAUUAAAGAAAAUUAGAUU
rnacentral:lncRNA from 1 species